UACGUAGGGGGCUAGUGUUGUCCGGAAUCAUUGGGCGUAAAGCGCGUGUAGGUGGUCCGGUAAGUCCGCUGUGAAAGUCGGGGGCUCAACCCUCGAAUGCCGGUGGAUACUGUCGGGCUAGAGUGCGGAAGAGGCGAGUGGAAUUCCUGGUGUAGCGGUGAAAUGCGCAGAUAUCAGGAGGAACACCAAUUGCGAAGGCAGCUCGCUGGGACGUUACUGACGCUGAGACGCGAAAGCGUGGGGAGCAAACAGG
rnacentral:rRNA from 1 species